UGAAGUCACACAAGUUGAAGUCUACAGGCGAGGCAAAACUAAAGUCUCUGGUAACAAAGAAAGGUUGGAACGAGUGUAUCAAGUGCAAGAAUUCGGAUGAACUUGCAUUUGGGUGCUACCAUAUUUAUUGCAUGUAUUUAUUGGAUUUGUUUUUUGGAAAUAUAUAACUGUGCCGAUUUAAAAUGUUGUGCUCUGCUUAAAGUUGAAGAUAUGGUUUGAAUGUGAUUGCAGAUGUGGAUAUGAGUUUUUCUAUACUUGUGGAGUGGAGUGGGUUAAUAAGAAACCAACGCGCAGGUGUCCGCUCUGGAAGGAGCGCAACAUUCUUUAUGCGUAGAAGUGUAUAAAUGGUUGAUAUUGGUGAAAAGACUAGAAUAAUAGUUGUGAAUGUUGAUAUUGGUGGUGUCUGCGUGAUCUCGAUGGUACACCUUUUCAAGUUUAAUGUUUAAUGAAUGAAUAGUUUGGUUACAUAAUGAUCAUUAUAUCCAUUUGACCAAGUUUUUUACAAUUUACUUUCUUCUUUCGAAAGAUUGUUUUUUACAACAUUACUUCUAGCGAGGCAAAACUAAAGUCUCAGGCAACAAAAAAAGGUUUGGCACGGGUGUAUCAAGUGCAAGAAUUUGGUUGAACUUGCAUUUGGGUGCUACCAUGUUUAUUGCUGAUGUGGAUAUGAGUUUCGCUUCCGCUUCAUGAUGGGCUAUUAAUUAUGAAGUUCCACCUCUACAUGUGGUUGGUAUGUUCUUAUAUAUACCAUCUGGCGCAUGUGUAUCAAGUGCAAGAAUAUCAAGUGUCCAGUCAUGCUAUUGCUAGCAGAAUUUGCCAUUCUGCAUCUCUACCUUUCAUUUACGACAACAUGUACCACCAAAUCCUAGAUACAUGUGACUUGAAUGUGGAGCUGCUUUGCCGGAUUUCUAGAGGUGUGGUUUGACUUCGUUAGUUACUUUCUAGCUUCACUGUUAUAGGAAAAGAAUGCAUAGUCUGAGCUUCGAGUCAAACCGACAUUCCUAAAGCUACAAGCAAUUAGUAAUUGAA